UCAUCCUAUGACCCUUUGUGAUUUUCUGGAGACAGAUCUCAAGGAGAAAGAGGAACUUGAAGCUGUGGGACCAUGCUGCAGGAUGGCCAGAAUGAGCUUCAAAGAAGCAUGUGAGAUAACACUGUAGCACUCACCAAAGGUGCAAAUAAGACAUCUGCAGAGGUUCCACUCCCUUGUCUGGCCUGUGAGGGAAGUUAAUGCCAUGCAGCCAUUCUCAUACUUUUAAAUUUCAUAAAAUAUUUUUCUUCUCAGUAGCAAGAUGAAUGCCGGCAACUGACACCUGUAAAUCAUAGUUCCAUUUAUCUCAUAUAUCAGUUCUGAUGCUUUUUGACUAAGCCAGUGCCUAGCUUCAUGGUCACUCUGGUAAGACCAGGCUAAAACAGGAAUUUGCUAGUACUGGUAAGGUUAGUAGGGAGUCAAGGCAGGUCGUAGUCUUGGUCUGUUGCACACUGCCUUGGCACGUGAUACAGCAUGGCCCAUAGUCCAAGGAAGAUGUUAUCUCCUAAAGCUGAAAAAAUAGAAGCAGGGAAUGCUGCAGAGCUGAGGAGUGAGGUGGGAGAAGGCAGUAACAGGGAUUUUUUUAAACGAAUAUACUUGGAAAAUAUUAGCAUUGCUAUGAUAGGCUUUGGUGUUUUAUUUUUUCAGCUCUUUCUCUCCAGGAAUUCCUUUGAACUGAAGCACCUAAGCAGCAAUACUUGUUUCUCUUUCAUUGACAUCAGUUAUUUUUGCUGUAUAAAGGUUGCACUGGAGGCACUGGGGAGUGGGUCUCAAAUGUCCUAAGCAGGAAUCCAUGGAGUUAGGAAACAUACCUGAAGGGGUGGAGUCACACCUUUUAAGGGAGAGUGUGAGUGUGUUGCUUGAUGUCUGGUACAUGUCUGCCGUGUAUUUUAAGGCUCCCUACUCUUUCACCUCUAAGUCACUACUCUUUACAAAUGAUAAUCUGGGCACUCCCCUGCCGUGGAGGCUGUAGAUACUACAACAUUCAGCAUAAGGACAGCACAAAAAUCUUGGGCCCUGUUGCAGUGUGGAUGUUUGCUUCCUGUGGGUCUGACUCUGUUCUGUAUGUGUAAGAAAGGCUCUGCAUUUUACUGUCACACUCUUUUUCUCUUUCAACUUACAGCAAAUUUAGCUUAUUGCUAAUUGGCUCACUUCCCUUUGGAAAUUUGCUUAAGAAAGGAUAUGCUGGCAACCUGCAGUAGUGCCCUGUCCGUUAGCUUUUAGGAAGCUCUAUGUUGGUGUAAAAGAUCAUGGUGGUCUACCUAGAGCUGUACUACCAGAGCGCUACCUGCAAAUGCAUACAAGGGGGAAUAAAGGGAAGUCCUCACUUUCUGAAAUUUAGGCUAUUUCAGACUAUUUCUGGGUGACAGUUUUAACGAUCUGUUCCUUUAAAAUAAAAUAAAUAAUAAUAUAUAUUAUAUAUUAUUAUAAUAUAUAUAUAUAUAUUAUAUAUAUAUAUAUAUAUAUAUUAUAUAUAUAAUAUAUAUAUAUAUAUAUAUAUAUAUAUUAUAUUAUAAUAUAUAUAUAUAUAUUUAAAGUGACUAGGGAAGCAAGGAGGGAGUCAAAGUAACUGUGUUUGUUAUUUGUUAAUAUUUGUUUGUCACAAAUCAAAUUAACAAUUUGCCGCUGUUUGUAUUUACCAAUUGUGAUGCUGCUCAAAUUUAUAAAGAAAAAAAAAUGCUUUUUCUUCCCUUCCUUUGCCACAAAGCAAGCAAAAUAUCUAAUGCAGAAGAGAAGCAUCAAGCAGAACAUUACAUCAGUUGAAGAAAAACACCAGAUGACUGCACUUUUGCUCCUUGAUGAGAAUGUUAUCCUGAGGACUAAAGAAGAUCCAGCCUCACCUCUAAGGGAAAGGGAACAGCAUGAGUUCACCAAUUUGACUGUACUUGAUCCCCAGCGGGCUGAUCUACAGUCUGACAAGCAGGGUAAAUUAUUUUGGGGGGGGGGGGGGGGGGGGGGGGGAGAGA